rnacentral:rRNA from 1 species
AGAGUUUGAUCAUGGCUCAGGAUGAACGCUGGCUGUGUGCCUAAUACAUGCAUGUUGAACGAAGCUAAAAGUGCUUGCACUUUAAGACUUAGUAGCGAAUGGGUGAGUAACACGUACUUAACCUACCCCCAAGUUUGGGAUAACGUUUGGAAACGAACGCUAAUACCGAAUACGUAUUUUUAUCGCAUGAUAGAAAUAUAAAAGGAGCUUCGGCUUCGCUAGGGGAUGGGAGUGCGCUACAUUAGUUAGUUGGUAGGGCAAUGGCCUACCAAGACUAUGAUGUAUAGCGGGGCCGAGAGGCUGAUCCGCCACACUGGGACUGAGAUACGGCCCAGACUCCUACGGGAGGCAGCAGUAGGGAAUUUUCCACAAUGAACGAAAGUUUGAUGGAGCGACACAGCGCGCAGGAUGAAGGUCUUCGGAUCGUAAACUGCUGUUAUAAGGGAAGAAAAACUUUAGUAGGUAAUGACUAGAACUUGACGGUACCUUAUCAGAAAGCGACGGCUAACUAUGUGCCAGCAGCCGCGGUAAU